UUGGCAAUAUCAAAUGGCGCCAGGGGUCAUUUCCAGUUGUCGGACCUCACUAAAGUAGUCACUUAUCAUACUGGACAGCUGGCGUUUUGGCUACAAUACUAAAGGAAAUUAGAACCACAUGCAGUCUGAAAACAAACAAGGGAGUUGCAGGAUUUUGUCAUUGGUUUUGGGGCUCAAGUUUUUCCUUUAGUGCCACGCUAGAAAGAGUUGACCAGUUUGACUAAAAUUAAAGGGAGGGAUGUGGCAUUCUAUAAAAGGGGGAAGGAGAGGGCGAGGUGGACACUCAAGAGCAGAAUCU